GUUAUAAACUGAAAGAUGGAAUAAGUCCUGGACAAAAACCGUCCUCCAGGAGAGCUCAUUGUGAAAGACGACGAAAUAUGCUCAACCUGUGAAGACUUUAGGAUCCUGAAUAUGACACGAUGGAUGGAAUCCUCUGAGAAAAAUGUCUACAUUGAUAACCUCUAUGUCAUGGUCACCUGGAAGGAUCCCCAAGUUGACCUGCUGCACUCCUUGCUGUACCAGGAGAAUCUUUGACCCUGUCUGGAGAACUGGAAGAGACCUUCAGCUCUUUCCUCAGCAGAUGUCAGACAGCUGCUGCAGCAUUUUAUGCUGAUGUCUCCCUGGUGCUUACAGCUUUGGAGGGUCUCUGGUGUUCCAGCAGGAGUCGGUGCUCACCUCAUCAUCUCAGCUGUUCAGCAUUGAAGCUCUGCAGCUUCCAGUGUUCAUCGACAGAUUGUUGUCUACCUUUAGAAUCCUUCAACCACGAGGACCAACAACCAACCAUCUCUGGACCUCUCUGCUCAGCUGCCUCACAGCCACAGACUCGGUUCUACCUCCUCACCGUGUCCUCCAGCUCCAGAAGGACAAAGGAACGCUGCUCACCUCCCCAUGUCUUAAACAACAUCUGCAAACCCCGGUGCAGCCUCUCCUCUCUUCGUUCCCAAUCUUUCUCCACCCCCCCUGCCUGCACGCUGACUACAGAUUCAUCCCCAUCUCUAAAUAAAUCACUUCCUCACACACAGA